AUAAAAAAGAAAGGGUAUAUGGAAACUUGGGGUAGCUGAUUGACAGGUUGCACCUACAGGCUACAUGUAGCCAUUUCCACAUCCCACACACAUAUACACAUUUUCACCCCCAAUUUCCCAUACUAAUAAUCAUCAAAUUAAUUCAUCAAAUUGAAAAUCAAACCUCGUCAUAUGCUCAUUGAAGGUUAUUAGGAUUACAUAAACCACCGCUGAAUAUCGCCGACCCCACCACCACCAUCAUCAUCAUCAUCAUUAGAGAACUCCGCAUGCGAAGGCCACCGAAGACACUGCCGCUGUUGGAUACCACCAACAGUUUCUUCUUCAUCUUUCUUCCUUUUUUUUGUAAUUUAGAUAUACGGAUGACGCUGGUGUAACAAAUUAUAUUUAACUUGUUGAUGAUGAUUGUUACGUUGGCAAAAGAAUUAAGAAGAGAACAUUCUCCGGUUUGUUA